GUGUGGUAAAUAGUAGAGGAGGUCUGCCUGGAGAAACUUCAUCAAAGGCAAAAUGAUGGACUCUGCGAUCCUGCCAGUUGCUGACUCACCCUCAACAUUUCAGCAACCCAGCGAUCAAACUCCCUUCCUGUUUGUAGCGGUAACACCUGAAGACCAUUAGAGAGAAGGCAAUAAAUGGAACCUCAUGGAGUCAUAGAUGGAUUUAGUGGAAUUGGUUAUGGAGGUUUGCUCCUGGAAGUAAAGGAUCAUCCUUGUCCUGGAUUUUCCAAGCAGCUUAGCUUUCUAAAUAUUCUUCUGAACUCCUGUAAGAAGUGGCAGACAAGUAAUUACAGGAAAUAGAUCUGAUUCGCCGCGGGCUUCUCCAGCUGAGCGGGGCAAGGAUCGGUCAGAUUAUAUGAGGAACAUCAAGAUCAGAAAGCAAUGCAUUUAUGAUGUGGUCGUCAAGAUUUGGAAGCGCUUCCCAAUGGAGAAGAGGUCUAGGACCAUUGAGCUUGGGGUAAACAGCUCUUGCACUGGGGACUCAGUGCCUGCCUUUGAGUAAAAUCUGGAGACAAUGUGCACAUUGAAACACAGAGGGAUCUUUUAGCUAAUCCUGUGGAGCGGCCUGCCGAGGGUCUAAUCAAUGGAGCUUUUAUUAGGCGGGCCUGAUACAUGCCAGCACUUUGCUACUUUAGUAACUAGCACUCAGGAAUCUUC
ensembl:lncRNA